UACGUAGGGUGCGAGCGUUGUCCGGAAUUAUUGGGCGUAAAGGGCUCGUAGGCGGUUUGUCACGUCAGGAGUGAAAACUCGGGGCUCAACCCCGAGCCUGCUUCUGAUACGGGCAGACUAGAGGUAUGCAGGGGAGAACGGAAUUCCUGGUGUAGCGGUGAAAUGCGCAGAUAUCGGGAGGAACACCUGUGGCGAAAGCGGCUCACUGGACCACAACUGACGCUGAGGCGCGAAAGCUAGGGGAGCAAACAGG
rnacentral:rRNA from 1 species